rnacentral:rRNA from 1 species
AGAGUUUGAUCAUGGCUCAGAUUGAACGCUGGCGGCAUGCCUUACACAUGCAAGUCGAACGGUAACGCGGGGCAACCUGGCGACGAGUGGCGAACGGGUGAGUAAUACAUCGGAACGUGCCCAGUAGUGGGGGAUAGCCCGGCGAAAGCCGGAUUAAUACCGCAUACGACCUACGGGUGAAAGCAGGGGAUCGCAAGACCUUGCGCUAUUGGAGCGGCCGAUGUCAGAUUAGGUUGUUGGUGGGGUAAAAGCCUACCAAGCCGACGAUCUGUAGCUGGUCUGAGAGGACGACCAGCCACACUGGGACUGAGACACGGCCCAGACUCCUACGGGAGGCAGCAGUGGGGAAUUUUGGACAAUGGGCGCAAGCCUGAUCCAGCCAUGCCGCGUGCGGGAAGAAGGCCUUCGGGUUGUAAACCGCUUUUGUCAGGGAAGAAACGCUCCGGGCUAAUACCUUGGGGUAAUGACGGUACCUGAAGAAUAAGCACCGGCUAACUACGUG